rnacentral:rRNA from 1 species
UACGAAGGGGGCUAGCGUUGUUCGGAAUUACUGGGCGUAAAGGGCUCGUAGGCGGCCAACUAAGUCGGAUGUGAAAUCCCCAGGCUUAACCUGGGAAUUGCAUCCGAUACUGGAUGGCUUGAAUCCGGGAGAGGGAUGCGGAAUUCCAGGUGUAGCGGUGAAAUGCGUAGAUAUCUGGAGGAACACCGGUGGCGAAGGCGGCAUCCUGGACCGGCAUUGACGCUGAGGAGCGAAAGCCAGGGGAGCAAACGGG